GAGAGCCUUGGAGGAGCCCUGACGAAGAAGCAGGAACAGCACUGCUGUGAGGAGAUGCUUGUGAGAAAACCACCCAGAAGCUCCUCUGGACAUGAACAAGAGGUGGAAUCCCAUCUGCCAUAGGAGAACUUCACCUGGGAGAAAACUGGAACCUAAUGCAGGAUUGUGCAGAGCAGGCAUUGCCACAUGAGUGACCAAGUAAACUCAGCUUCUGCAGGUUUCAGUGUCAGCCUUGCAUGGGGAAGACCUGGACCUGUUACAGCAGGGCCAGAGAGAUUACCAAGUGGCUGGAGCACCUCUCCUAUGAAGACAGGCUGAAAGAGUUGGAGUUCUUCAGCCUGGAGAAGGGAAAGCUCCAGGGAGACAUGGUACCUUCCAGUAGCUAAAGGGGGCCUGCAAGAAAGAUGGGUGAAAAACUUUUUAGCUGGGCCUGUUGUGAUAGAACAGGAAGCAAUGGUUUUAAUGUGAAGGAGGGUUGAUUUAGAGUAGCUAGAAGUAACAAGUUUUUUACAAUGAGGGUGAUAAAAUACUGGAACAUGGUUGCCCAGACAUGUGGUGGAUGCCCCAUCUGUGGAAAAAUUCAUGGUCAGGUUGGAUGGGGCUCUGAGCAACCUGAUUAGUUGAAAUGUCCCUGUUCACUGUGGAGGGUUUGUAUGAGAAGACCUUAAAAGUUCCUUCCAACAUGAACUUUUCUAUGAUCUCAUCUCUGUCCUACUGAUGGUCAGUUGUGUCUCACACAGUUCUGCUUGCUGUGAGGUGACCUUUUAAUGUUUACACAUUGUGCUGCUUCAGCCACAAUAACACGACUCAGUGAAGAGUUGGGGAAAACUGAAAGCAUUGCAUGUAUUUGUUUGGAAAAUAGAUCAGUGUCUGUCUGAUCUAAACCUAAAAUCAAUUUGCUGAGGUUUUAUGUUGGUGUGUGAUUUGGUAUUGGCUGGUUUGCUCAUGCAGGUAAGGCUGAAGAAAUCCCGCUUUGCACCUAUAAUGCCAUCCUUUAACAAAGGGCUCUCUGCUCCAGGGAGUGCAGUCCUGUUUCAGACCAUUGCUCAGACUCAGUAUGAAUGAGAGCAGAUUAAAGAAGCAGCAUUAAUACCCCUCAGUUUAAUCAGCACAGAGUCACCCAGCUGUGUCUGGGCAGCCACCACUUGCUCCCUGGAGGACCAGUCCAGCACUAGGAGUACAUGUGUUUGUUCUUUGCCAAACAAGCUUCAGUCUGUGCUUGCAAGAUGUCCUCCACAGGGAUACAAGUCUAAAUCAUAUAGAUGUAUAGAAAAUGACUCCAUGAGUGAUUGGUUCAAAUCUAAGGAUUUUAAAAGCGAGACAUGGUGGUUUUGUUCACUUGAGGAAACAUUCAGCAUUUAUUUAUUGUUAUAAAAAAACACCAGCAAAUUAUGAUUACUGUUUUCUUUUCUUAUUACUCUGGCAAUCAAAAACACCAUGGAGAAGACCUGUCUUUGGCCCAAAGAGCUUACAAGCCAAGCAUGGGACAAGAGAUAACCUGGAUGCCUCCAUCACUUUUAUCAGCUGUCUCAGAAGUGAAAUUAAUUAAUAGAUGCUUUAAUUUUGUUGUUAAAAAAAUAAGGAAGGAAAUAAAAUCUCAGGAUUUAAUAUAGUA